GACGAACGCUGGCGGCGUGCUUAACACAUGCAAGUCGAACGGAAAGGCCCUGCUUUUGUGGGGUGCUCGAGUGGCGAACGGGUGAGUAACACGUGAGUAACCUGCCCUUGACUUUGGGAUAACUUCAGGAAACUGGGGCUAAUACCGGAUAGGAGCUCCUGCUGCAUGGUGGGGGUUGGAAAGUUUCGGCGGUUGGGGAUGGACUCGCGGCUUAUCAGCUUGUUGGUGGGGUAGUGGCUUACCAAGGCUUUGACGGGUAGCCGGCCGGAGAGGGUGACCGGACACAUGGGGAGUGAGAUAAGGGGCGGACACGAGCAGGAGGGAGCAGCGGGGGGAAGUGGACGACGGGCGGAAGACUGAGGAGGCAAACGCGCGGGCGGGAGGGGAGGGUGCGGGUUGUGAACAGCAACCGACUGUGACGAAACGGGAGAGACGGGACGGGAAAAAGAAGCACCGGCUAACUACGUG
rnacentral:rRNA from 1 species